rnacentral:rRNA from 2 species
UGGAUCCAGACUUUGAUCAUGGCUCAGGAUGAACGCUAGCUACAGGCUUAACACAUGCAAGUCGAGGGGCAGCGAUGAAGAAAGCUUGCUUUCUUCAGGCGGCGACCGGCGCACGGGUGAGUAACGCGUAACGAACCUGCCUCAUACUCAGGAAUAGCCUUGCGAAAGUAAGAUUAAUGCCCGAUGUUAUUAGGAUAUCACAUGAUGUUUUAACUAAAGAUUUAUCGGUAUGAGAUGGCGAUGCGUCCCAUUAGUUUGUUGGCGGGGUAACGGCCCACCAAGACAUCGAUGGGUAGGGGUUCUGAGAGGAAGGUCCCCCACAUUGGAACUGAGACACGGUCCAAACUCCUACGGGAGGCAGCAGUGAGGAAUAUUGGUCAAUGGACGCAAGUCUGAACCAGCCAAGUAGCGUGCAGGAAGACGGCCCUCUGGGUUGUAAACUGCUUUUAGUUGGGAAUAAAGUGCACCACGUGUGGUGUUUUGUAUGUACCAUCAGAAAAAGGACCGGCUAAUUCCGUGCCAGCAGCCGCGGUAAUACGGAAGGUCCAGGCGUUAUCCGGAUUUAUUGGGUUUAAAGGGAGCGCAGGCGGACCUUUAAGUCAGCUGUGAAAUACGGCGGCUCAACCGUCGAACUGCAGUUGAUACUGGAGGUCUUGAGUGCACACAGGGAUACUGGAAUUCGUGGUGUAGCGGUGAAAUGCUCAGAUAUCAUGAAGAACUCCGAUCGCGAAGGCAGGUAUCCGGGGUGCAACUGACGCUGAGGCUCGAAAGUGCGGGUAUCAAACAGGAUUAGAUACCCUGGUAGUCCGCACAGUAAACGAUGAAUACUCGCGAUUUGCGAUACAGUGUAAGUCGCCAAGCGAAAGCGUUAAGUAUUCCACCUGGGGAGUACGCCGGCGACGGUGCAACUCAAAUGAAUUGACGGA